UACAGAGGUCCCAAGCGUUGUUCGGAUUCACUGGGCGUAAAGGGUGCGUAGGUGGUGAGGUAAGUCGGAUGUGAAAGCUCGGAGCUCAACCCCGAAAUGGCAUUGGAAACUACCUUGCUCGAGGGUUGGAGGGGGGACUGGAAUACUUGGUGUAGCAGUGAAAUGCGUAGAUAUCAAGUGGAACACCAGUGGCGAAGGCGAGUCCCUGGACAACUCCUGACACUGAGGCACGAAAGCUAGGGGAGCAAACAGG
rnacentral:rRNA from 1 species